rnacentral:rRNA from 1 species
GACGAACGCUGGCGGCGUGCUUAACACAUGCAAGUCGAACGAAGUGGCGAACGGGUGAGUAACGCGUAAUCAACCUGCCCUUCAGAGGGGGACAACCGUUGGAAACGACUGCUAAUACCGCAUACUGAAGGAGGGGAUGGCGUCUGAUUAGCUAGUUGGCGGGGUAACGGCCCACCAAGGCGAGGAUCAGUAGCCGGUCUGAGAGGAUUAACGGCCACAUUGGGACUGAGACACGGCCCAGACCCCUACGGGAGGCAGCAGGGGGGAAUCGUCCGCAAUUGACGAAAGUCUGACGGAGCAACGCCGCGUUAGUGAUGAAGGCCUUCGGGUUGUAAAGCUCUGUUAAUCGGGACGCGGUACCGGAAUAGAAAGCCACGGCUAACUACGUGCCAGCAGCCGCGGUAAUAC